ACGAACGCUGGCGGCGUGCCUAAUACAUGCAAGUAGAACGCUGAAGGAGGAGCUUGCUUCUCUGGAUGAGUUGCGAACGGGUGAGUAACGCGUAGGUAACCUGCCUGGUGGCGGGGGAUAACUAUUGGAAACGAUAGCUAAUACCGCAUAAUAGCAGUUGUUGCAUGACAACUGUUUGAAAGGUGCAAUUGCACCACUACCAGAUGGACCUGCGUUGUAUUAGCUAGUUGGUGGGGUAACGGCUCACCAAGGCGACGAUACAUAGCCGACCUGAGAGGGUGAUCGGCCACACUGGGACUGAGACACGGCCCAGGCUCCUACGGGAGGCAGCAGUAGGGAAUCUUCGGCAAUGGACGGAAGUCUGACCGAGCAACGCCGCGUGAGUGAAGAAGGUUUUCGGAUCGUAAAGCUCUGUUGUAAGAGAAGAACGAGUGUGAGAGUGGAAAGUUCACACUGUGACGGUAUCUUACCAGAAAGGGACGGCUAACUACGUG
rnacentral:rRNA from 1 species